UACGUAGGGGGCGAGCGUUGUCCGGAUUUAUUGGGCGUAAAGAGCGUGUAGGCGGCCAGGUAGGUCUGCUGUGAAAACUCGAGGCUCAACCUCGAGACGUCGGCGGAAACCAUCUGGCUAGAGUCCGGAAGAGGAGAGUGGAAUUCCUGGUGUAGCGGUGAAAUGCACAGAUAUCAGGAAGAACACCCGUGGCGAAGGCGGCUCUCUGGGGACGGUACUGACGCUGAGACGCGAAAGCGUGGGGAGCGAACAGG
rnacentral:rRNA from 1 species